rnacentral:sRNA from 1 species
AGGUUGGAUGGGAACCACCCAGGCGAGCCCCAUCAUGCGACGUGUCAUUACCACAACAAUGCUGAGGAUGCUGGAGUUGAGAUAGUUCCCAGCUGCAAUGCCGAGCUGCCCAAGCACAAAGCUUAGGCUCUUCAUGGUGUCUGGGGACUGGUCAUAUAUAGAACAAUUCAAUCAUGCCAAUGCAGUCGAACAACUUGGCGGCGCUGAGGUUGAGGCAGGAUGGAGCAUUCCACAUGAUG